rnacentral:rRNA from 1 species
UUGAAAGGGAAACGAUUGAAGUCAGUCGUGCGGUCUUCAACUCAGCGGGUAGCGUAGGUAAUUUAUAACCUUACUUUUUCCUUGUACUUUGUUGUCUGCUGGUUACCAUCAUUUUUGAUUGUCAUAAAAGGGUUAAGGGGAUGUGGCUCCUUCGGGAGUGUUAUAACUCUAACCGAAUUGUGGCGAUGGGGAUUGAGGUUUGCAACAAAUACCUUUAGGGCAUUUCCGUCUGGUCUCUUGUUGACUUUCAAAUGCCACCGCCUGGCUCUUGUUGUUUGAAUUAUUUACCAAAUAAAUAAAAAGGUGAAUUAAUUCUUUAAGGAUGUUGACUUA